rnacentral:tRNA from 1 species
GCGGGCGUAGCUCAACGGCAGAGCACCGUCCUUCCAAGUCGGCUACGCGGGUUCGACUCCCGUCGCCCGCUCCA